rnacentral:lncRNA from 1 species
GACAUAGCAGGAAUAAUACUGCCUUUUCUUUCUGGCAUGGAUCAAGAGAAAAGAAAAUACAAGAAAACAGACAGAAGAUCCUAUCUGCGACAAUUAAGAGCACUCUAAGAGGAAAACACAUCCCACCACACAAGGCAAGGUACUUCUAUGGAAGGGUGAGCCCUCACAGAUGGAGCAAUGGGGCGCGCACACCUGAACAAGGGAGGGGAAGGAGUUCUUAUCCCUGAUGCAUGUGACCCCUGCUGCUGUGUCCUUCCCCUAUUGGCUAAGGCUUCUGACAGCUUUGGAGAUUGUGACAUUGGAAUAAAGGAAAAACGUACAGGACUCAUGAAGCGCUGAAAUGUUCACAAAUAUCAAGCAAAAGUCAAUGAAAUUUAUUUUGAGCUAUUUACAUCAUUUAAUAAUUGAGCAAGGUAUACUCCUAUGAACAAAAUUUGGAGCAUGUUUGUCUCUCUCUGCCUGGCGUCUUCAGAAUUUGGAAACUAGUUAGUCAUGGAAAUUUAUUUUGAGCUAUUUACAGCAUUUAAUAAUUGAGCAAGGUAUACUCCUAUGAACAAAAUUUGGAGCAUGUUUGUCUCUCUCUGUCUGCCUGGCAUCUACAGAAUUUGGAAACUAGUUGUGCUGUACUGCAUGAGAAUGCCUGCAUUUAGUAUGCGAACUGGAAUUGGCAAAGGACGAUGGCUGCUCUCCCGCUAACUUUAAAUAAGUCAUGUCACAAAUUGCAUGUAAGACUUAUAAAAUAUUAACGUUGGGAGACACUGAAACAAAUCAGUAUUUCUAUUAACCUGCGAAAAGAUCUUCCAAAUAUAUAACCAAAGUAACUAAAACAAAUACUAAAAAGAGUUUACUUUUAAAACUAGGUUUAUGAAAUAUUUUCCCCAAGUUUGCAUGAUUAUUAGAAAAGUGGCUUAAAGAGUAAAGAAAAACUGGAAUCUUGUUGACCCCAAGUACUCCUCUAACCCUUUUGCUCUGCUGUUACAAUGGACCAGUAAAUCUUCAAACAUAACACCUCUUAAAUUAAAAACAGAAAUGGUGUAGAUUGCACACAUUACAACAUUUUUUUAGGCUUACUUCUUUUUUUCAAUAUUAAAGCUUAUUUUUCACACAUUACUUAAUGUUGCCUGUUAAAAAGUGGUGCUUAUAUUUGUGUAGCUAUCUGUUUGAUGGUGGUUUAGUUUAGGAAAUAAAUCACACAGUGACAA